AGCGAACGCUGGCGGCAGGCCUAACACAUGCAAGUCGAACGGAUCCUUCGGGAUUAGUGGCGGACGGGUGAGUAACACGUGGGAACGUGCCCUUUGGUUCGGAACAACUCAGGGAAACUUGAGCUAAUACCGGAUGUGCCCUUCGGGGGAAAGAUUUAUCGCCAUUGGAGCGGCCCGCGUCUGAUUAGCUAGUUGGUGGGGUAAAGGCCCACCAAGGCGACGAUCAGUAGCUGGUCUGAGAGGAUGAUCAGCCACAUUGGGACUGAGACACGGCCCAAACUCCUACGGGAGGCAGCAGUGGGGAAUCUUGCGCAAUGGGCGAAAGCCUGACGCAGCCAUGCCGCGUGAAUGGUGAAGGUCUUAGGAUUGUAAAAUUCUUUCACCGGGGACGAUAAUGACGGUACCCGGAGAAGAAGCCCCGGCUAACUUCGUGCCAGCCGCCGCCGUAAGAC
rnacentral:rRNA from 1 species